CCAAAGUCUCAUCUAACCGGCGCACAUAUAUAACUGUUUGUGUCCAAAUUCAAAUCACAAAGCUGAAAAAAUAUCAGAGUGAUAUAAAAUGUUCCGAGGAAAGUACUUGAAGCAUUGGCAAACUCCUAACUCGUUGAAGUAAAAAAAUUUGAAUUUUUCGGAAUCGGAUACGACUCACGGUACUGCCAUCGUCAAGUCGCGCUGGUAGCUCAGGUUAGGUCCCGCUAUUGAAAUGUUAAUUUACCAGUUGAUAUUUUCAAAUGCAUGAUUUUGACUGGCGCAUUUAUCUGUAUCGGAGCAGCGAUUACGUGCAUCGCCUUUCACUGACAAGUAUUCCAGGAAUCCCGGCGAAUAUGAGACUCCCAGGGGUUUUAAACGGUACGCGCAUCAUAGUGCUCUACCUGUGUAGCCUUGUAGAUCGAAAUAAUAAACCGCUAGGUGGAACCAACGAGCAAGUUUUCGCAUGUAUUUUCCAUAGCAACUUGAAAAAUACCGAAUAUUGGGACUUUAAUAAUACGCUCCGGCUGAAUACUUCUAACCGAGCACAAUUAAUUAUAAAAAAGAUGUGCACAAAAUAUGAGAUCCAUCUUAUCAAGAAUGAACUGUGAUUCUGCUCGUCACACCACAGGAUAGGUUUUGACCUUGGGAGGAGGGAUACAAGGUCAUUAGUUGAAAACCAUCAAGUGUGAGGUGUGCAUAAAACAAGCAUUCAUAGAUGUGGCCAUAUAUGAUCCGCACCGGAAAAGGAACAAGAGAAGACAAAAAUAACUUCAAACAAAACGUGUAAACAAAGACUUUUAAAUUCAAUUGAUUGAAUUAUUUCCUAGAUAAGCUUUUGAUCUGUGAAUUCCUGCACGUGCUAGGCUUGUUAAUUGCUAAUUAGAAAUUCAUUAAAAUAAUUGCGCAAAGUCAUGGAGUUCUAUUCGAACCCGAAGUUAAAUAAAACUUUAUUUUAGACAGUCUAUUAAUUAACAAAUUUUUGAUUUGACAUGAGUGUGGACGUGUUGAUUGCUAAUUAAAAAAUUUCAUGCACACCUAAGUUUAACAAAACAUAAUUUUAAACCCGUCGAUUGGUGAAAUUUUCGAUUUGGCUUGCAAAGUAAAUGCAUUCGGAAUAAUUAAACCCUGCACAUGCUUUUAAAUCAGCAAUGAGACAUUGGAAAUAAUGUGGAGAGAUCGAAAAUUCAUUCUUUUUUUAGUCAAAUUUUUUUUAUUCAACUCCAGUUACAGAUAAUGAGUUCAAAGUAAUUUAUUGGGAUCUUACUGAUAUAUUACUACUUGAAAAAUAUGUUUUAGGAAUUCAGAUAAAGUAGCUUUUUAUGAAAAAUCUGUCAUAUCUGCAUUGAAAUUAUGAUUUCAAAUAAAAAAGAAGUUAGCAUCUAUUAUGCGUUCGUUGUAAAAUAUUCAGAAUUGAUUUCAAGCCAUAAUUCUAGAAUAAGGAACUUAGUUCAGUUAUGUUCUGAAAACUUUCUUGUUAACCAGAUAAUUUCUGUAUUUAUAAGUAUACGGUAUUUAAGUAUACGGUAACUUUUUAAAAGUAUACGGUAACUUUUCAAAAGUUGAAAUCUCGACAUUAAACCUAUAGUCAUAACUAUUUUGACAUCACAAGCUUUUGUUUAUAAUGGAACAAUAACUCAUUAAACGAUGAAAGCCAUUGAAUAGCACUUCAAAAUAUUGAGUGUUUGCGCUCCCAGCACUUGAGUAUCACUCAGCGAGGCUGAGUGCCUGGUAGCAUAAAUAUGAGAGUCUAACUAUGAUGUCAUUUGUAAUGCACAGUUUAUACUUAUUGUCUUUUCAUAUUACAUUAAAUAAUGUUCACACUUGAAUAGACUGUUUUUCUUAUUCAUCAAGUUUUUCAAGUCCCAAAACCUUGACUUGAAGGAAACGCUCAACAGUCUGCGCAAAGCGAUUCAGAUAUAACACCUGCUUGCUAUCGCACCUACGAUACCCCUACACAGGUUCUAAUUUGUAGGAAUAAUUAUGUACCAGAGAAUUGCGGACUCAUUGGUUGACUAUUCCUGUAUUCCCAUUCCCUACAUGGUCUGGUAACUGGAAUAGAGGAUGUGGUAUGCCAUAUGCACUCAUAGGCCAAGC